rnacentral:lncRNA from 1 species
AUGUCAUGUGCAGAAUCCGCUACAGUUUCUUUGAAAAUAGCACAGUCAAACAUUCAAAAUUUAAGUGACGUUAAUGGGGAAGAGAGGAGGAGGUGGUGGUUAUAGCCAUGUCUACACUACUCUUUACAGAAGACAUAGAUGUCAGUGGUCCUUCACUCAUCUCAGAAAACAACUCACGACUCCAGCAGCUUGCAUGAUGAAACGGAAGAUCAUCAUUUGAGCUAUUCCACUGAAGUCAAGCAUGAAAUCUAUUUAGCUGGAUAGCUACCCAUUUCCUGUGACCUGCAAAAGAGAUGCCCUAUUCUUUCAGGAUCCUUGGAAUGCCACAUGCCCAGGCCCACUGGAAAACUGGGAAGGAAAACUGGAGCCACAUGCCUGGGCCCACUGAGAUUCAUCACCCUUCCCCUACAACCCUGUGUCAAGGAAACACAAAGAUAGAGUGGAUUUCAGCACCACCCAAUGCAGACGCAUGGCUGCUAGUUUAUCAGCAUAGGUCAAUGAAUGGUUUUAAGUUGCUACGGGUUUAAGAGGAUCUCUUAGUUGAUGGGAAUUUUUGAAUCUUUUUUUUGCGUGGGACCCUUUGGCAGUUUUGUAAAAUGUACAGACUAUUUCUCAGAAUGUUUCUAAACGUGUAAGUUAUAUUGAAAUUGGCCAGGCACGGUGGUUCAUGCCUGUAAUCCCAGCAUUUUGGGAGGCCGAGGUGGGCGGAUCACUUGAGGUCAGGAGUUUGAGACCAACCUGGCCAACAUGGUGAAACCCCGUCUCUACUAAAAAAAUACAAAAGUUAGCCAGGCGUGGUGGUGUGUGCCUGUAAUCCCAGCUACUUGGGAGGCUGAGGCAAGGCGAAUCACAUAAACCUGG